rnacentral:rRNA from 1 species
GAUGAACGCUGGCGGCGUGCCUAAUACAUGCAAGUCGAGCGAAGCGGGGACGGGUGAGUAACACGUGGAUAACCUCCUAUAAGACUGGGAUAACUUCGGGAAACCGGAGCUAAACCGGAUAAUUAUAGAUGGAUCCGCGCUGCAUUAGCUAGUUGGUAAGGAAACGGCUUACCAAGGCAACGAUGCAUAGCCGACCCGAGAGGGUGUUCGCCAAAACUGGAACGGGGACACGGUCCAGACCCCUACGGGAGGCAGCGGUAGGGAAUGUUCCGCAAUGGGCGAAAGCCUGACGGAGCAACGCCGCGUGGGGGAUGAAGGUCUUGGGAUCGUAAAACUCUGUUAUAAGGGAAGCGGUUCCUACUCAGAAAGCCACGGCUAACUACGUGCCAGCAGCCGCGUAAUUC